rnacentral:tRNA from 1 species
GGUGGUUCAGUGGUAGAGCACUUGCCUUGUAUGCAUGAGGCCCUGUGUUCGAUUCCUCAGCACCA